AUGGGCACCAGGCUCCUCUGCUGGGUGGUCCUGGGUUUCCUAGGGACAGAUCACACAGGUGCUGGAGUCUCCCAGUCCCCAAGGUACGAAGUCACACAGAGGGGACAGGAUGUAGCUCCCAGGUGUGAUCCAAUUUCGGGUCAGGUAACCCUUUAUUGGUACCGACAGACCCUGGGGCAGGGCCAAGAGUUUCUGACUUCCUUCCAGGAUGAAACUCAACAAGAUAAAUCAGGGCUGCUCAGUGAUCAAUUCUCCACAGAGAGGUCUGAGGAUCUUUCUCCACCUGAAGAUCCAGCGCACAGAGCAAGGGCGACUCGGCUGUGUAUCUCUGUGCCAGAAGCUUAG
rnacentral:lncRNA from 1 species